rnacentral:rRNA from 1 species
CCUACGGGUGGCAGCAGUGGGGGAUAUUGCACAAUGGAGGAAACUCUGAUGCAGCGACGCCGCGUGAGGGAAGACGGUCUUCGGAUUGUAAACCUCUGUCUUUGGGGAAGAAAAUGACGGUACCCAAAGAGGAAGCUCCGGCUAACUACGUGCCAGCAGCCGUGGUAAUACGCAGGGAGCGAGGGUUGUCCGGAGUUACCGGGUGUAAGGGGAGCGUAGGCGGGCGAGAAAGUUGAAUGUUAAAUCUACCGGCUUAACUGGUAGCUGCGUUCAAAACUGCUUGUCUUGAGUGAAGUAGAGGCAGGCGGAAUUCCUAGUGUAGCGGUGAAAUGCGUAGAUAUUAGGAAGAACACCGAUGGCGAAGGCAGCCUGUUGGGCUUUAACUGACGCUGAGGCUCGAAAGCGUGGGGAGCAAACAGGAUUAGAUACCCGGGUAGUC